rnacentral:hammerhead_ribozyme from 1 species
AUUCAGGUGACGAGUCCCAUAUAGGAUGAAAUGCGCAUCGGGAAU